rnacentral:misc_RNA from 1 species
GACAGAAGGUGCAAGCGUUACUCGGAAUUACUGGGCGUAAAGCGUCCGCAGGCUCUUUUGUAAGUCUGGCGUAAAAGCACGAAGCUCAACUCCGUGUACGUGCUGGAAACUACAAAAGUAGAGUCAUACAGAGGCAUCUGGAAUGCCGUGUGUAGGGGUAAAAUCCGUUGAUCCACGGUGGAACGCCAAAAGUGAAAACAGGAUGCUGGGUAUGUACUGACGCUCAGGGACGAAAGCGUGGGGAGCAAACGGG